rnacentral:tRNA from 1 species
GUUCCCGUAGCUCAAUUGGAUAGAGCGUCAGCCUCCGAAGCUGAAGGUUACAGGUUCAAAUCCCGUCGGGAACG